ACCCAGUUGGCUCAGGAGGAAGAGCAUGUGACUGUUGAUCUCAGGGUCAUGGGUUUGAGCCCUAUACUGUGUG
rnacentral:tRNA from 1 species